UCCCAAUGUCCUUUGUCAGGACUCCUUCAUUCUCUCUCACGAAGGUUGUCUGUUACGGUGUUGGAAUAUUAAUCAUACCACUCUCGCCUGCCGUCAAUUCAAUAUUGACGGCAUGAUGGGUGCCGUUCUGGCACUAUCAUGAGGUGGUCCAUGUGUCUAUGAGUUGAAGUCUACAUGAUCCUCUGCGGAGCACAAACUGGAGAUUUCUUAGUGACGACACAUACAUAC
rnacentral:snoRNA from 1 species